CUUCAUGAGGUAACUCAACUAGCCAACCAGCUUACCUAUGUUCUUUAUUCUUGACGAAAUGAAACCAAAUAGGCUAUUUAACUUGUCUCCUCUUUUAUGUUGGCACAAAAGUUAAUGCAAUGUCCAAUCUUUUCCGCACUUAAGUAGACUAUUUUACCAACUCAUGUAGAGUUGAUGACACCGUGUUAAUUUUGGCGACCAGGGG
rnacentral:lncRNA from 1 species